AAACUUCUUAAAAAGGGGGAAGAUGAAUUGAGCAGGGACAAUUAUUUGAAAUUAUGAGAGGGAAAUGGUGUUUUCUUACACAUAAUCUCUAGAGUUUUACAGCAACAACGUAGCAGCGAUCACAGCACCUAUAAUUGGGUUGCAAUAUAUCUCUUCUUCUUUGGGUCUGGGCAGUAUAAUUUUAGAUAUGGACUCUAAACUCAUGGUGGAUAUUAUUAGUUGUCUUAGCAAAUCCGGG
rnacentral:lncRNA from 1 species